AUUGAACGCUGGCGGCAGGCCUAACACAUGCAAGUCGAGCGGAUGAGAGGAGCUUGCUUCUCGAUUCAGCGGCGGACGGGUGAGUAAUGCCUAGGAAUCUGCCUGGUAGUGGGGGACAACGUUUCGAAAGGAACGCUAAUACCGCAUACGUCCUACGAGAGAAAGCAGGGGACCUUCGGGCCUUGCGCUAUCAGAUGAGCCUAGGUCGGAUUAGCUAGUUGGUGAGGUAAUGGCUCACCAAGGCGACGAUCCGUAACUGGUCUGAGAGGAUGAUCAGUCACACUGGAACUGAGACACGGUCCAGACUCCUACGGGAGGCAGCAGUGGGGAAUAUUGGACAAUGGGCGAAAGCCUGAUCCAGCCAUGCCGCGUGUGUGAAGAAGGUCUUCGGAUUGUAAAGCACUUUAAGUUGGGAGGAAGGGUUGUAGAUUAAUACUCUGCAAUUUUGACGUUACCGACAGAAUAAGCACCGGCUAACUCUGUGCCAGCCGCCGCGGUAAAAC
rnacentral:rRNA from 1 species